CAUGGAGAACCAAUCCCCAAAAGAUAACGCAACUCCUUGAUGGACACAGAUGAUUUAUGCUUUUCACCACCGGGAAUCGUAAGGGUGGAAACCGAUCUGUUAAAGUCGGUAAAUGAUAAACUGAACAUACUUGAAUUAGUCAGUAAAGAUAAAAAAAGAGUUGAAGGGGAGCCUUGAGAUGAGUGACGAAAAAGCUGUGACAAUGGAGAAAGAAAGAAACAAGCUAAAAGGUGACCCACAAGACUGUGCUGAGUCUAGAUGAGAAAUGGACUGAGGCGGCUGCUGUCACUAUGAUAGAGAUCAUGCCCAUGUCCCUCUCAGACACCAUCAUACUCAACAGGCCCUUCCUGCUCUUCAUCCUGGAGGACUACCAAGAGCAUCAUCUUCAUGGACAAGAUCACCAACCCCACAGCCGAGUGAAAGACGGAGAGGAAGAAAUAAUGAGAGGGAGGAACAUCUGAGGAGAUUGAAGGAAGGUCUUUGUCUCUCAUGCUAGUGGUAAAACAUAAAGGAUCGGUAUCUGAUUUUUCGGUUUUCUGUAGAGCAUUCAUGUGUUGGAUGCUUUGUCUAGGCAAGUCAGGGAGUUUUGAACCCAUACAUGUGUUUUUCUAUCUACUGCAUACCUAGAAACAUAGGGUUGUGUGUCUGUGUGUGUCUCUGUGUUUGCGGUUCUGUCAAAAUGUUACUGAUGUCCAUGCCAGUCUGGCGAUAGCAAUAUACAAUUUGAUGUGUCGUCAUUAUGUCUACGUGAGUUGUCUUCAGAUAAUCCAAUUGGACAAAGGGCUUUAUGCCUUUAUGGAAUGGAUGUUUUUUUUCUUAUGCAUCACCCAAAAGACACUGGUUAGAUAAUAAAAAGUUAAACAUGAACCCACAAUUUUGAAUAGUUUAUACUGGGCUGAUGUCUCAAGCAUAGGCUUAACUGCAUGCAAUUUUACUGAGGGCUCCUCUUAACUGAGAUCAUCUCAGCAUUAUUUGGCAAAGAUGACGUAGGUCUAAGAUAGCCCUUUUUUGCCGUUCUCGAGAAAAGUAUUAUAUACAGUGAAUCCCUGGGAUAUAUUUAAAGAUCAGCGUUCGACAUAUCUGUACAUGCGCUGUAUUAGAGGGAAAAAGUGAUAGAAGAAACUACGGUUGAGAACUCUUAAGCGGGGGGCGCAUCUCAACGGGGUGUCUAAUCUACCCAUGCUUCUCAGACCAGAUCAUAAAGCAGCCACCAUUUUGACCACAAAAAAAACAGCUUUGUUCAUUAGCUUCUUCAACCCCCCUCUUCUUCUCAACCCCAACCCCAGUCAUCUCUUAUCUGCUCCUCCAUAUAUUGAAUCUUAAAGAGAUCAAAGGGCAUGAUAUGCAUAAAGUCAGGCAAGGAGAUGGAUUGUGUGAAAUGGCCAUCUAUAAUGCAUCGUAAGGACAGGAGCUCGUCACGUCAAGCCUGUAGUUUUAAUGUGCGGCUCAUGCAUGGUUGCGUAAGACCUACCUAGUAUUACUGCUGGAUCAGAGAGACUGGAGAAACAGAUACAGAUCAUUCGGGCAGAAUUGUGAAGAGAGAGAGAGGAAAAAAAGGUAAAGAAGAAAGUUGACUGAAGAGAACUUUGUCCUCUAGCUACCGUCUUCUUCUUAAAGGCCGCAGCAGUAAUUUGAACGUCUAAAAGACAGAGAUAUUAUGGUGGGGCCCCACAUUGAAUUAAUGAUAACUCGCUCUAGUCUACCUGAAAGUUUGUUCACUAUAAGCCUAUUAUGGUGCUUUUAUUUCAUCAAUUGUUUUCUGCCUGAGCUUUUUGUUUGAUGUUUUCUUCAGUUAGCUCAGCUGUUGACCAUAUCACUAAAACUAUGCUUUGAAGUUUUACCGUCCUACUAUUAUGUCUCUAACCUCUUUUUUCUGUAGCAUUUUAAUCCGUUUUAUUUUUGUAAUUAUCUUUUUAGUCAAAUGUUCUUUUUUUUCUUUAUCAGAGUUUACACAGACAACAAAACAAAGUGCAACAUACAGACAGCGUACAGGGAAUUAAGUAAAAAUACAGUAAAAAAUAUGACAAAGGAGCAGUCAUUAAAUAAAAGGACAGCCGUAUAGGUUACAGUGCCUUCAGAAAGUAUUCACACUCCUUGACUUUUUCCAGAUUUUGUUGUGUUACAGCCUGAAUUUAUAAUGGAUUACAUUAAUCUUUUGUGUCACUGGCCUGCACACAAUACCCCAUAAUGUCAAGGUGGAAUUAUGCUUUUGAAAAUGUUUACAAAUGUAUUAAAAAUGAAAAGUUGAAUGUCUCGAGUCAAUAAGUAUUCAACCCCUUUGUUAUGGCAAGCUUAAAUUGUCACACCCUGAUCUGUUUCACCUGUAGUUAUACCUGUGUUCUCUGUUUGUCUGUUGCCAGUUCGUUUUGUUUUGUGAAACCCUACCAGCGGUUUCCCCCUUGCUCCUGUCUGGUCUAGUUCCUGUUUUCUAGUUUCCCCCAGUUUUGACCAUUCUGCCUACCCUGACCCUGAGCCUGUCUGCUGUUCUGUAUCUUGCCACAUCAUAUUGGAUUAUUGACAUCUGCCUGCUCUGACCCCGAGACUGCCUGCCAUUCUGGACCUUUUGCACCCUAUCUGGAUUAUUGACCCCUGCCUGCUCUGACCCCGAGACUGCCUGCCAUUCUGGACCUUUUGCACCCUAUCUGGAUUAUUGACCC
rnacentral:lncRNA from 1 species